GGAGCCCAGUUGAGAUGUCGACGACACCGCCCCCGCCUACGACGCUGCCAGUUCUAUCGACUCUACUACCGACGCCGAAACUCCUGGAUACGUCAGACGACGCCUGGCUUGGUUGGAGAACAUGGAAGAUGGCGGGCCAUUGAGAGAAGACGCUCGAGAACCGAUCACACGGCUCAGCGGGUGCCCGCAUACACGCGCCAACACGGUCCGGCCGGCAUCCAGCACCUACUGACUACCCAGAAUUCCUUCCUUGUGCUGGGAACACUCUCCAAAUAAGCAAAGGGUAUCCCUGCCUGAAAUCCACCUGUUCUCUUGGUUGGCUGAAGUGGUGCUGCCCUUAUUCUAUUGGAAAGUGUGUCGGUGAAUAUUCUAUAUAAUAAAGUAAGCUAUUGGGCGUAUACUUUUUAAA